UACGUAGGGUGCGAGCGUUGUCCGGAAUUAUUGGGCGUAAAGGGCUCGUAGGCGGCUUGUCGCGUCGGAUGUGAAAGCCCGGGGCUUAACUCCGGGUCUGCAUUCGAUACGGGCAGGCUAGAGUUCGGUAGGGGAGACUGGAAUUCCUGGUGUAGCGGUGAAAUGCGCAGAUAUCAGGAGGAACACCGGUGGCGAAGGCGGGUCUCUGGGCCGAUACUGACGCUGAGGAGCGAAAGCGUGGGGAGCGAACAGG
rnacentral:rRNA from 1 species